UAAGCGCGGGUCACAGCUUUGUUCUGUAUUAUUAUCAGUUAUGUAACAACACACACAGUCUUAUCCUUUUAAAAAAUAAUCAUUCUUUUAUCAACUCAGGUUUUCUUGAAAUUGUCAUUAAGGUUUUGAUCAAAGAUAAAUAGAUUUUAUAUCACUGUCCAUACAUAGAUCAUGAAAUCACUGUCUAUUGUGCUGCAGAAAAUCGUCUGAAUUGCACUGGGAGCUAAACCCCAAAAACAUGCGAACAUGCAAGAAGUAAACACAAAUCAGUGGAAUUAGAAAAGAGAGGAGAACAAUUCAUCUUUUGAUAGGGAUGUGUGCGUAUGUUUGUUGCCAUCGCUUCACUAACAACAGAUACCAAAUAAUGAGGAAUUCUUUUUGGAAUGGAAAAAAAUAACAAGUGUCUACACUGUUGUUGAAAACUACAGCGAAGAAGGUGAGAAUGAGCUGUGUAUCAGGGUAUAUAGUUGUGGACAUGGAGUGAAGGCAAGCUUGGGAAAACAGUUGAACUUCUAUUCAAAAAAAUGUUAAGAGGUAUAUAUGAAGGAGAGAAAGACAAAGGUUGUGCUCAUUACCACUGCCAGCACAGGGGUUGAUUAUAGUCCUGCAGAUACUAAUAUGUUUAUCUUAUCAAGUUUCAGAUUUCCCAAUUCACAAGAAGGUCUUCGUCCUAAGUGAAAGGUGAUCUAGUGUAGAAUGGUUAAAUUCCAAGAGGUGCAAUAUGUUCAUUGGUGUAUUGAUUGAGAGAGUCGAGAUCAAAGGUAGCAGUGCUGUGGUAUUGAGAGGCGUAGAGGCCAUCUGGUACAACAAAACAGAAAAUACAUGACAAUCUUACACAACUCUUUUAACUUCUUAAAUCUCCCACAUAGUUUUACAAUGUUACACAAGGUCCAACAAGCAUGUACUAACUUUUUCAACUCGUCUGCAGAAUUUGAAAGACUGGUUCUCGAAUAGUGACACAAAUUGGCUAAGUUGACACAGUUCAUAAAGAGAUAAAAGUAAAUUUAAGUUGCAGAGAUUAUUGUCAAAAUUGUAGGGAUAUUUUUAGUUGGCUUAUUUUAGAAAUGAGACCCAUGGUUAAUCUGCAGGAACAUUUAGUGUGUUUACAUCGGGAAGCAUGAGUUUUAAGACAAGAAGGAGUUAUAGACAGGCUAUACUUGAACUUACCAUUACAUAGGACACAAUUUCUUCUUGGUGCAAUAGAAAUUAUGGUUAACAAUACCAGGUUAUCUAUGUGGUUUUUUUUUCAUAAAUAUCUUUCAGAAGGACUCAUUUGUCAUUCAUAUACUUAUGUAAAAACACCUAUACAAAUUAGGUUUGUGAAACCCACUUUCUAGAAUUGUAUUAAUUUGUACAAGUUGACUGGAAAUUUAAGAAAGGGAAACUUUUUCUGUUAUGUAUGUAUUUAUGAAAUGUUCACAAGUAAAUAAAAUAAUGAGAAAUC